AACGUACGCUGGCGGCACGCCUAACACAUGCAAGUCGAACGAAGUAGCAAUACUUAGUGGCAGACGGGUGAGUAACAUGUAGGUAUCUGCCCUUUGGCCUGGAAUAACACGAGGAAACUUGUGCUAAUACCGGAUAAGUCUUUACGGAGAAAGCUUUAUGCACCAUUGGAUGAGCCUGCACUUGAUUAGUUUGUUGGUGGGGUAAUGGCCUACCAAGACUGUGAUCAAUAGCUGAUUUGAGAGGAUGAUCAGCCACAUUGGGACUGAGACACGGCCCAAACUCCUACGGGAGGCAGCAGUGGGGAAUCUUGCACAAUGGAGGAAACUCUGAUGCAGCGAUGCCGCGUGAGUGAAGAAGGCCCUUGGGUUGUAAAGCUCUUUCGUCGGGGAAGAAAAUGACUGUACCCGAAUAAGAAGGUCCGGCUAACUUCGUGCCAGCAGCCGCGGUAAUACGAAGGGACCUAGCGUAGUUCGGAAUUACUGGGCUUAAAGAGUUCGUAGGUGGUUGAAAAAGUUAGUGGUGAAAUCCCAGAGCUUAACUCUGGAACUGCCAUUAAAACUUUUCAGCUAGAGUAUGAUAGAGGAAAGCAGAAUUUCUAGUGUAGAGGUGAAAUUCGUAGAUAUUAGAAAGAAUACCAAUUGCGAAGGCAGCUUUCCGGAUCAUUACUGACACUGA
rnacentral:rRNA from 1 species